rnacentral:rRNA from 1 species
UACAGAGGGUGCAAGCGUUAAUCGGAAUUACUGGGCGUAAAGCGCACGUAGGCGGUUUUUUAAGUCAGGUGUGAAAGCCCCGGGCUCAACCUGGGAAUUGCAUUUGAAACUGGGAAACUAGAGUGUGUGAGAGGGGGGUAGAAUUCCAAGUGUAGCGGUGAAAUGCGUAGAGAUUUGGAGGAAUACCAGUGGCGAAGGCGGCCCCCUGGCACAACACUGACGCUCAGGUGCGAAAGCGUGGGGAGCAAACAGG